AGAGUUUGAUCMUGGCUCAGGACGAACGCUGGCGGCGUGCCUAACACAUGCAAGUCGAACGAUUCGAUUUCGAACUUCGAUUUUCGAAUUUCGAAUAUCGAAUAGUGGCGGACGGGUGAGUAACGCGUGGGUAACCUACCCAUAAACCCGGGACAACCCUUGGAAACGAGGGCUAAUACCGGAUAAUCUUUUAGCUUGGCAUCAAGCUUUGAGAAAAGGUGGCCUCUGAGAAUGCUACCGAUUAUGGAUGGACCCGCGUCUGAUUAGCUAGUUGGUGGGGUAAAGGCCUACCAAGGCGACGAUCAGUAGCCGGCCUGAGAGGGUGAACGGCCACACUGGGACUGAGACACGGCCCAGACUCCUACGGGAGGCAGCAGUGGGGAAUCUUCCGCAAUGGACGAAAGUCUGACGGAGCAACGCCGCGUGUAUGAUGAAGGUCUUCGGAUUGUAAAGUACUGUCUUUGGGGAAGAAUGACUGGUUUGAAAAUAUUGAGUCAGUAUGACGGUACCCAAGGAGGAAGCCCCGGCUAACUACGUGCCAGCMGCCGCGGUAAUA
rnacentral:rRNA from 1 species